AUUGAACGCUGGCGGUAGGCCUAACACAUGCAAGUCGAACGGUAACAGAAUAAGACCUUCUUCUUAGGUGUCGCGAGUGGGGGGCGGGUGAAAUAUACGGGAAACUGCCCUAUUGCGUGGGGUAAAUACUGGAAACGGUAACGCAUAUAGCAUAAAGUCGCAAGAGCUAAAAGCGGGGGAUUUUCGGACCUUGCCCUCUUGUAUGACCCGAUGUGGGAUUAGCUAGGUGGUGGGGUAAGGGCCCCCCAAGGCGACGAUCCGUAGCUGGUCUGAGAGGAUGAUCAGCCACACUGGAACUGAGACACGGUCCAGACUCCUACGGGAGGCAGCAGUGGGGAAUAUUGGACAAUGGGCGCAAGCCUGAUGCAGCCAUGCCGCGUGGAUGAAGAAGGCCUUCGGGUUGUAAAGCACUUUCGUUGGGAAAGAAAAGCAGAAAGUUAAUACCUCGCCGUUUUGACGGUACCCAAAGAAUAAGCACCGGCUAACUUCGUG
rnacentral:rRNA from 1 species